rnacentral:rRNA from 1 species
GGACUAAUACCCAAUGACGUCUCUAGAAGACAUCUGAAAGGGAUUAAAGAUUUAUCGGUGAUGGAUGGGGAUGCGUCUGAUUAGCUUGUUGGCGGGUAACGGCCCACCGAGACGACGAUCAGUAGGGGUUCUGAGAGGAAAGUCCCCCACAUUGGAACUGAGACACGGUCCAAACUCCUACGGGAGGCAGCAGUGAGGAAUAUUGGUCAAUGGGCGAGAGCCUGAACCAGCCAAGUAGCGUGCAGGAUGACGGCCCUAUGGGUUGUAAACUGCUUUUAUAAGGGAAUAAAGUGAGCCUCGUGAGGCUUUUUGCAUGUACCUUAUGAAUAAGGACCGGCUAAUUCCGUG